rnacentral:rRNA from 1 species
AGGGCACCACCAGGAGUGGAGCCUGCGGCUUAAUUUGACUCAACACGGGAAAACUCACCCGGCCCGGACACUGGAAGGAUUGACAGAUUGAGAGCUCUUUCUUGAUUCAGUGGGUGGUGGUGCAUGGCCGUUCUUAGUUGGUGGAGUGAUUUGUCUGGUUAAUUCCGAUAACGAACGAGACUCUAGCCUAUUAAAUAGAUCGUUGGCUUACAAACGCCGGCGAGACCUCUUAGAGGGACAGGCGGCGAUUCAGCCGCACGAAACAGAGCAAUAACAGGUCUGUGAUGCCCUUAGAUGUCCGGGGCCGCACGCGCGCUACACUGAAGUGAUCAGCGUGCAUUUUGAAACCUACUCUGUCAAGAGUGGGGAACCCAAUGAACCUUCUUCGUGAUUGGGAUAGGGGAUUGUAAUUAUUCCCCUUGAACGAGGAAUUCCCAGUAAGCGCGAAUCAUAAGUUUGCGCUGAUUACGUCCCUGCCCUUUGUACACACCGCCCGUCGCUACUACCGAUUGAAUGUUU